rnacentral:ncRNA from 2 species
AUUGUGCCUCAUAAGUUAAGUUAAACUUUAAGAUUAAAAGGGAAAGUAGUGAAAAUCUACUACAGCCCCCGCUACUGUAAUGGAGGACUAAGCUUUAGGCACAUGAAAGAAAAUAACAAGUCCAAUCUGGCAUGAAUAUUUUUUUGAUUGUGUUUUAGAUACCACUGAGUAUUUAAGAAUAUAAAUUCAAACAUAUUAGUUUGUUAUUUUAUGAUUAAACUUGGGAAGGAAAAGCAUUGGGAUGAUGCCAGAGUCAGGAGACCUGCCUAGAAAUUGAUUGAGGC